CCACAAACUGCUUCUUGAUCACCACGUAAAAGCUCACCGACUAAACUCAGUCAUCACAUCAACAACAAUCAUCCAGAGGCAAUCAUACAAAGCAAACAAACCUAUAAUUAGAAUAAUACACCAACAGUAGAAAAUAAAGAUAAAAAGUUUAUAAAACAAAUCUACAUCGCACUACGAUCACACAGACGUAAAGAUCACAAAAAUCGGAGCUAUAACGAAGAAGUUAUGAUUUUCCCAAGAUUUCCUUUAAUAAAAUAAUAGAUUAAAACUAAGUUCAGAUUUAAAA
rnacentral:lncRNA from 1 species